AUGCUUCUCUGUUUCCAGGUGGAAGAUUCAGGAACUCCAUGUUUCCUAGAGGCUUUCUGGACCAAGCGGCACAUCCUUGUCAGAGUGUAUAGCUCAACAACGCAUCGUGUAAUGCAAAUGGCAAGGCAGACCUCUUUAUCAGCAGAGAGGUAUGCUAAUGUAACUGUCACAUUAAAUAUUUGCUGCUGUGGCUCAGUUAAUGACUGUCAUAAAAGUGUGGCAAUAUCUGGCAUUUUAAGUGUUUGUGGUACCUAAUGUACAGCUUGCUAUUGUAAAUAGGCCACACAUUUAGAACUAAUUACAUGCAAGCUAUGAUAGCAGGUUUAUUUUUUACAACUAUCUAAGCUGUAAUCAGCACUUGUAAUCACAGAGCAAGAAAAAAUAAGCAGUGACAGCAGCACCUUCAUGUUGAAAGCAAAGUCUUGUCCUGACAUGUUAUGGAGAAUUAAGUGUUCAGUAGAAAGUGCGAUGAUUAGUCAGAGGCAGAUAUAAUCAUGACAUGGUCUGGAUCUGGGUUUUAUACAGUUUAUAUCCACAUGUGCUUGUUUUUCUUUAAAGCUUUGUCCUUUAGCAGCCCAUUAACCACUCCAAAUUUAUCAUUUUGAAAUUAUAUAUAUAUAUAUAUGUAUAUUCAUUUGACCAAAUAAAUGUACACACACUUUGGCAGUUCACCAU
rnacentral:lncRNA from 1 species